rnacentral:rRNA from 1 species
GAUGAACGCUGGCGGCGUGCCUAAUACAUGCAAGUCGAGCGAACAGAUGAGGAGCUUGCUCCUCUGACGUUAGCGGCGGACGGGUGAGUAACACGUGGAUAACCUACCUAUAAGACUGGGAUAACUUCGGGAAACCGGAGCUAAUACCGGAUAAUAUAUUUAACCGCAUGGUUCAAUAGUGAAAGACGGUUUUGCUGUCACUUAUAGAUGGAUCCGCGCCGCAUUAGCUAGUUGGUAAGGUAACGGCUUACCAAGGCAACGAUGCUUAGCCGACCUGAGAGGGUGAUCGGCCACACUGGAACUGAGCCACGGUCCAGACUCCUACGGGAGGCAGCAGAAGGGAAUCUUCCGCAAUGGGCGAAAGCCUGACGGAGCAACGCCGCGUGAGUGAUGAAGGUCUUCGGAUCGUAAAACUCUGUUAUUAGGGAAGAACAAAUGUGUAAGUAACUAUGCACGUCUUGACGGUACCUAAUCAGAAAGCCACGGCUAACUACGUG